UAGGGGGAAUUUUUCAGAUUUUUAAGGAUUAGAAGAAUUUCUUUGAGUGUUUAUAUUUUUUGGCGAAAGCCCACAACCCAAAACCCCCUCCUUCUCCAACAAAUAAUCCGAACCCUCAUUAUUUCUAACACUCAACAUCAUCCAUUCCAAAACCCCUUUUUUCUCUUCUGUACGAACAGCAAAUCCGGCGGAGCUCGCAUCUAGAAGCUCGAGCAACCACCGGUCACAAAACCACUUUCCAACCCACCAAACACCACCUCCCCACCACCCCAUCUCCUCCGGUAAUAACUUCUCCUGGAACAACCAUCAAAAUAGUCACCACACCACCAAAAAUCCAACAUUAACAACUUCUAAACCUCACCCAUAUUUUGACCUAAACACCGCCAGACAGCGUUCCGCCACCACAAAAAAUUCAUUGGAAAACGACCACAAAGACCAGCAACUAAAGCUCCGAGCUCUGGCGAAACCGGAUCCACCUCCCUAAUUUUCCUUCUCUUUUCUCCAACAACAACCAAGCAGCCAUUUUUGGCGACCCCCAAACAAUCCCACACGAACCGAACUCCUAGUGCCCUCAAAUAUCCAAACCAUAGCUUCCAGAAUACUAAUGGACUAGAAACUCUAAAUCAUUGUCGAUCUAAUCUUCUCUACCUCCUAUCUGGUCGAAAAAUGUAUAACUUCGGUGAACCAUGCUACAACUCUCACAACUAGUAGCCGAUGAGUUCAAUGAGCAGACACCACUGCUGCACCGAAAUAUGUAUAUCUAGCAAGAAAAAGCUUCCAUUGGACUCCGGCACCACUUCUCGUUGAAGCUAUUCCAAUAGAAUUCAAAUUAUACUUUUUAUUUAUUAUUGUGUAUAUUGUUCAUGUUAGGAAAACCUUAGGCCGAUUCUUACAUUAUUAUGUUAUCAUAUUAUCUGUAUAUAUUGCAUGUGUUAUUAUAUUUGUAUAUAUUAUUUUUAUUUCUUCCUCAAUUUUGAAAAAAAA